GAUGAACGCUGGCGGCGUGCCUAACACAUGCAAGUCGAGCGAAGCGGGGACGGGUGAGUAACACGUGGAUAACCUCCUCUAAGACUGGGAUAACUUCGGGAAACCGUAGCUAAACCGGCCACUUAUAGGUGGUUCCGCGCUGCAUUAGCUAGUUGGUAAGGUAACGGCUUACCAAGGCAACGAUGCAUAGCCGACCUGAGAGGAUGAUCGGCCACACUGGAACUGAGACACGGUCCAGACGCCUACGGGAGGCAGCAGUGGUGAAUUUUGCGCAAUGGGCGAAAGCCUGACGCAGCAACUCCGCGUGUGUGAUGAAGGUCUUCGGGUCGUAAAACUCUGUUAUUAGGGAAGCGGUACCUAAUGAGAAAGCACCGGCUAACUCCGUGCCAGCAGCCGCGGUAAUAC
rnacentral:rRNA from 1 species